rnacentral:lncRNA from 1 species
CUACAACGUCACACUCUCUCCUCGCUCCUCUCUCAUUUCCCUUACCACAUCUCUCUCUGCCUCUUCCCUCUCUCUCUCCCCCUCUCUCACUAAAACCAUCCACGACGUCGUUCGGCUGCGGUUUUCUGCCAAGUCUUGGACAACAUUCGCCAAACUUAGCCUGGCUUUCACCAAUUCCGUUUGAUUUUCCCAAAUACUGACCCCCGUCAACCGAGCAGCGAAAAGAAAAGCCUGCCACUCUUAUUUCCUCGCAUCGGAACAUCUCUCUCUCUUGUGUUCUUCUGUUUUGUCGACGUUUGGAGUUGGUUGAGCAGAGAAUAUGGCUGCGAAGCAACGAAUGAGAAUCGCCAACCAGAAACACAGCCAGAAUGUGGCCAACAGGGGGAACGUCCCCAAAACACUGGUAACAACUACUUCACUAUUUUACACUGUUUUACUAGUAUUUCCUUUGUUUAAUUUUGGCCUUAGACACUGAUUAGUAGUGUAUGAAAUGUACACUAUAUAUACAUGUAUGUAUAUAUGUAUGUAUAUAUAGAUGUAUAUAUGUAUGUAUAUAUGUAUGUAUAUAUAGAUGUAUAUAUGUAUGUAUAUAUAGAUGUAUAUAUGUAUGUAUAUAUAGAUGUAUAUAUAUGUGUAUAUAUAUGUGUAUAUAUAGAUGUGUAUGAAAUGUACAUUAUAUAUAUGUAUAUAUAUAGAGAGAGAGAGAUGUAUAUAUAUAUAGAUGUAUAUAUGUAUGUGUAUGUAUAUGUGUAUAUAUAGAUGUGGAUGUAUGUAUAUAUAGAUGUGAUCAAAAUAAGCAACAAGGAUAUCCAAGGUAGUGUAGUACAAUCGUUUCAUACUACUUCAUUUAAUUAAACAAUGUAGGUGUUUUAUAUGGAUAAUACCAUACCAAAUUCUGGUGCCUUUAACCCAAGUACCAUAUUCAUCAGAAUCUAAAUUUUUGCUGAACUUACAUAUAUAUAUAUAUAUAUAUAUAUACAUAUAUAUACGCACACGAACCCACAUGUCUUUAAAGUUGGCCUUAAUCCUCAGUCCUGGUACCAUAUGUCGACAACAAAACCAACUUGUAGACUUUUUUCGCUUCACCGUACGCAACAUAUUGUUGAAUGCCCUCAGCAUUUGUAUAAAUGGUUCCAAUGCUUCCAGAUGUGUUCCUUCAUUGAAUCCUGUUCAUCACAGACACACACAAAAAAUAUUAAUAAUAAUAAUUUAAAAAGCCAUUAUUUUUAAAAAAAUGUGCCGCAUCAGGUUUUGAUUUCUAUGUUCCCUCUCAUUAAAUUCUAUUUAGAUUCUGUGAUUCUGUUUGUUUUAACUAAACCUCUAAAUUGCUUCCUAAUCGUUCUGUUUUUAAACUGAAAAAACGUCAGAAUUUCAAAUCAUUGAUUCCCAGGUAAAUAUAUUUAUUCGGAUCAUUUGGUAACCUCAUUUCUUUCCUAUAUACAACACCUAUUUAUAGAAGAGAGGAACAAUAUGUGUGUGUGUGUGUCAUGAAUGAUGGAAGCUUUCGGAAGAGACAUAUUGACGAAAAGCGUUUAAUAUUGUUUUAAAUAAUGAGACCCUGGAAGAAAUAUAGAGCAAGUGAAAAACUAGACAGAGUUUGGACUGAUAGCAGGAAGGCUGGGACUUCUUCUUCGUAUUGUAUUUUCGAAUCCGGUUGUUCAUUGGUAUUUGUCGAAACUUACAUGGAAAUAGUUUGAUAUUUUCGACAGAUGAAGAAUUGUGACGUUCAUGCUUUUUUCUCAAGAAUAUCAGAUGUAUAUAAAUGGAAAAGUCUCUGAUCCGGAUUUGGAAGCGGAAACCUUGUUACACGAUUUGUGUGUGUGAAGCAGAGAAUUACACGUCACACGCCAAAACCUGUUUCUGUUGACGGAACCUUAUUAAGUAUAAACCACCAAAUAUUAUUAGCAGAAUAAUUCGAAUAUCUAAUUUGAGUUGGAUCUUCACUAAUUACUAAUUUUACAAACAGUUCCUGAGGUUUUCAAGAAAGUAAAAUGUUUCCAGCUUGAUUUUGACAUAUGGCAGGUGAUAGGUGCUGGCCUAGAAAAUUUUGUUGUUUGGCUUCGAGUAAACCUUAUUCAAAAGUACUCCGAACUUGACCAUCUUUUAGGUGGUAUCUACCGUUACAUUAUUAUAUAGUCUAUUCUCCCCUUUUUUUUUUAACGGUGAAAUGAUGAGAGGGAGAUCUAACUGCUGUUUCUAGCGGAACGAGAGGCUCACUGCUUGUCAUGGCAUAUGGUCGUGUACUUUUGUAGUGCUUUGGGAGGAUUACGUGGUUUGUUGGGUUGACGUAUUGCGUGAUUUUAAUGAGAGUGUGGCGGGGGUCUCCGGAUACACAAAAAUUGAAAUAUACGGCAGAUAACCAGAUUUACACCUCAAAGUCUUUAUUGUACGUAAUUGAUACAAAUUGUACAUUCAUAAAAAGAUAACAUGCUUAAAAGAAAAAUUUUAGUCGAACGCAUCGACCUUAGUACCUUUUCAUAUUUCUAAUCCUGUUACUUUUUGUAUCGGUCUCUUUUGCCGAACCAGUUGUUUCCGUCUACCAAACCCACUCACAAGGCUUUGGUCGUCCUGAGGCUAUAGAAGACGACACUUGCCCGAGGUGCCAUGCAGGGGGAAUGGACCUGACUCCAUGUGUUUGGGAAGUGGACUUCUUACUACACGGUGCUAAAUGCAUUUAAUACAAAACGUUGGUUCUAAGACUGACAUGUGGCAAGGCUUCCACAACGUGUUUAGCAGAUAUACGACAGCUAAAAAAAAUGUAUUACUUCACGUUCUAAUCAAGCUUACUCCAGGCAACAUGUCAGGGUCUGGCGGGAGGCCUAAGGCAUUUCCCCAUCUCACUGCAAUGAAUUUAGCACCGUUUACAAGAUGUGAUAUAUUUUGGAAAUUUUGUAUUUUAGUUUGUUUUUGUGUUAGGGUGUUGCUUAACUAUGAUAGGUAUUGAAUAGUUGUGCCAUAUUGGUCAAGUGACUGAUAUAUGUAUUAUAUAAUAGCAUGUGUGUUGACAGCAUCUACACGAAUAGAGGACUGUGGUUCUGGACUUGUUAGAAACAGCAGCUAAAUAUUCUUCCAUGUGUCUAAUAUAUAUCAUCGUUUUUAAUGUACACUUUUCCAUGCUUGCAUGCAUCUGAAGGAAUUUGUGAAGGCGGAUUUUGUAUGACCAGAUGCCCUUCUAAUCAACAACCCUCACUUGUUUCCAAGUAAGGUAAUAUUUCCCCCUGACCAUACACAGUUUCACAGAAGACUAGAAAUGAAAGACAUUCGUUUACAAGCAUCACACUGUGUCAAGGCUAAGAGGCAGUAACAGCACACGCACACACAUAUGACAGGCUUCUUUCAGUUUCUGUCUACCUAAUCCAUUCACAAGGCUUUAGAAGACACUUGCCCAUGGUGCCAUACAGUGGGACUGAACCCAGAACAUGUGGUUGAGGAUUCAGUCAUGCUUGUUCCUGUGUAGUUAUAUGUUUGUAUAUAUGUAUGCAUAUUCUUUUUUGUUUCAGCCCAAUGGCUGUGACCAUGCUGGGGCACCACCAGUAUGAUCACCUUUUCAGUGGCCCCUCUCAUGUGACUGACCUUUAGUGAAUAAAGGAGUUCAGUGUUGCUGCCCGUGUUUUAGUUUCUUGCCGUGAUGUAGGGUCAUCUGGGAUCUUGGACAGCAGAGGGUCAAGGUGCUUUUUGCUAACAUCUAUCCCCACUUCAUGUGGAUCUCUUGGGUAUUUUGGCAGGAUAUUAAAUAGCUGUAGGCCUUUGAGUCCCAAGCAUUUGAAGUACUUGAUCCUUUGGAGCAGUACAGCAGCAUCCUGUCCAGUGGCUGGUAUAGCCCUUAAUGCCAAAGUUUGGUGCCAGCCCUUCUGGGGGUCUUCAGUAAUGUAUAUCACCACAUAUCUCUCCUGUCUUUGCUCCUGGGAAUAUAGUCAAAAUUCUUUCAGUCUUUCCCAGUGGAUCAACUGUUCCAUUGAUGUUGUCUUCUCGGUGUAACAUUGCUGAACCACCUCAAGUUCUGCUGUUGAAUUGGCUCUGUGGAGUGACCAUAGUCCAGAUGGCUGUGGACAGAUAUACUCCAUAGGACCAGCAAAGUUUCCUGGUCUCUUGAUCUGAAAGUUCUCAGAUUCCAUCUUGGUGACAUGUUCAUGAAACAAGGCACACACAUUCACAUAUAUAUAUGACUGGCUCCCAUUCCAGCAGCAUGUAAAAAGCAUGAUCAUUACCUGUGCCUGUGGUAUGUAAAAACCACCAUUCAAGCGUGGUUGAUGCACUACUACCCUGACUGGCCCUCAUGCUGGUGGCACAUAAAAAGCACCCACUACACUCUCUGAGUGGUUGGCAUUAGGAAGGGCAUCCAACUGUACAAACUGCCAGAUCAGAUUGGAGUCUGGUACAGCCUUCUGGCUUGCCAGUCCUCGAUCAAACUAUCCAACCCAUGCCAGCAUGGAAAGCGGACGUUAAACGAUGAUGAUGAUAUAUAUGAAUUGUUAUUAAUCCAAACACCCAGUAAUCAUAUCUAAACUGGAUGUUUGGCCAAAAUUUCAAAGUUUGCAUAAAAGGAAAAGAAAACUAUCUCAUCCCAAAAUAAAUGUAUUUUAAAAAUCAAAAAAUAUCAACUAGAUUAUGGAUGGGAGAUAAGUUUGCUCAGAGUAGCAGUCCUCAGCUUUCACCAUGGCUUCAAGACGGCUCUGGAACCUAGCAUAUAUAUUCCUCUCUAUGCCCCUAGGAAGAACUUUGAACACCUUAACUUUGGCCAUAUGUGUGUGUGUGUGUGUCCUUAUAUCUUGUUUCAGUCAUAAUUGUGACCAUGCUGGGGCACUGCCUUGAAUUUUAGUUGAAUGAACUGAUCCCAGUACUUUCUUUUUUAAGCCCGGUACUUAUUCUAUCAGUUUCUUUUGCCAAACUGUUAAGUUAUGGGGACAUAAACACACCGACACUGGUUGUCAAAGAGCAGUGGAGGACUGACUCACACAAACUAUAUGUCUAUAGUGAAUACCUGUGCAAGCAUGGGAAAUUGGAUGUCAAAACGAUGAUGAUUUCAACUUGAUUUCCUACAUUUUUAUGAAUCUCUAUAUUCCUUAGUCAUUUGUUUAUUCUGAAUUAUAACCAACCUCAAUUAUUAUGUUUGUUCCUACAGAAGGUGGCUGAUGACAAAUACCCUGUUGGACCCUGGCUUUUGGCCCUGUUUAUCUUUGUUGUCUGUGGUUCAGGUACGUACAACCACUUUCUACUUUAAAUCAAUGACAGAUCUCAUUCCUUAACGAGGACUAUUUUAUCUCUUCAGCAGUUUUAAUUUUAUUUCAUUAAUGCUUGGAUGUUAAAUAUGGAAAUGUUUGCUUAUCCUGGCCAUUAUAAUCUCAAAUUGCUCCGAGAAGCAAAACUAAGAGGAUACACGAGAGCAGAGCCUCUACAUGGCCUUUGAGCUCCUCGAAACGACAGCUAAAAACACAGCCUACAGCAUGUCUGGUGGCAAGGUGUGAUGAUAAAUGCUGGAAUGCUUUUAAUCACAGGUCUGUUUCAUCAGAACUGACCUGGGGCUAAACAACUCAUAGAAAUUUCAAAUAUAAAGAUACAGACUUGAAACUAGCUUCUUGAUUCAUUUUCGAUUGAUGUCCAAUGAGCUUUUACUUUCAGUGAUUUUGUAGACGGGAAGAAGCACUAUAAAUGAUUUCACCAGAUUUAUAAGAAAUAUCUAUUUAGAAUUGCUGUUUAUAUAUAUAUAUAACUAAAUAUAUACAAAUUAGUCAUUAAACUAAUUGGGACAGUGAGAUUUACCAAUAUUUUAUUUUAUAUAAUCCACAAAACACUUAUCUAGGGACAUCUUCAACAAACUCUUACACUAGUAUUCACUUGGUAUAUUAGUACAUCACCUAUGUGUGUGUGUGUUGUGCUGCAAAGUUGGUUUUACAUUAAGGGAAUGAUAAGAUAUUGGUUUCUUCUCGGUCCUUAGUGCAUAUUUAUACUUUAUGUGCACAAAACUAAUCUCAACUAAUAUUAUGACAAACGGAACAUCCUUAUUUUUGUAAAUCUGUUGAGAAUAGAAAUUUUGUAAUUUCUGAUGAAAAGGAAGAAAAUCUUUAUAAACGUGGAAUUUAAUAUGGAGACAUAAAUCUAUAUAUGUUUUUAAAGACAAAAUAAAUUAAAUGAAUCACUGCUGAUUACAUCAUUUCUCUGAAAUAUAUUAUAUAACUUGUAAAUGGUUAUUAUAUAUUAGUCAGAAAUAGCAGUCUGUUCUGCAAACCAUUUAAAAAGUUAUCGUAAGACUGUCUUGUACUGUUUGAUAUUGAAGCGGUUGUCAGAUGUGGAAGGCUGUGUAUGAUACUUUGGUCAGCUGCAGUGAAAGAUGGCAUUUAGCCACAGACUCACAGACGUUCAGAUAUUGGAGGAGCACAACAUAUGAAGGAAGCUAUCUGAAAGGCGUCCAGCUGUUGGUAGUGGCAAUCCAUCAGUUGAUAAUUCUGCAGUAAUAACAUCUUCGGUUUGAGUAAGAUGCAGUGUGAGUGAAUGGAGGGAUUGCAUUACAAAAAGUUAGAGAUCGGAUUUAGCAUGGAAUAAAAAAAACCAUUUAGCUGGUUAUUUAAAGAAAAAUGCAUAAUUUUAAUUAGCUAUUUUUGUAGUAGUUUUGGUUUAAUAGCUUUGGUUAGUUCCACUCAAACUGCGAUGAAAGACCAAGUAUUUUCAUUUAGUUUAUAGUAUUUAAGAAUCCUAAUGUUAUCUCGGUAGUUGAACUGGUUAUAUAUAUUGAUCAGUGUUUGUUUUUCUCAUGUCUUCUUUAUUUAUCAGAUAUGAUCAGUCGUCAUAAACUCGACUGGCAGAUGUUAGAUUUUUCACAGAUUAGAUUAUUUAUCUUCAACUAUAUCAGUGACCUUUUUUGUUUACAUUAUUAUACAAUAUGAUUGAAAUAAAGCCAUAAACAGCCUUUGUUCUUGUAACUUUAGUAGCUUUAUUAUACUCUCUUCACUAAAACCUAUCCACUUUAGACAUUCCACUCUGAGUCUUAGUGAAUUUCUAUUUUGUUAAAACAGCAAUUACUAAUAAGCAGACUUACUUACUGACUUUGUUUGAAAUGUCUUAUCAAAUCGUUUGCUUACUCUCUUUUCAAAAAUGGAAAUCAGUAGAAAGAAAAAAAAAACAUUUUAAAACAACAAAUACAAUCAAUUCAGUGUUUAUUUUUGAUGUGUUAAUUGUUGAGUACAAAUUCAAUGAAAGGUUUUUUCUUUUUUCUUCUUCUUCUUUUACAGCUGUCUUUCAAAUAAUUCAGAGUAUUCGGAUGACGUAAUAAAUCAAUGAAGAUAUUUGACCAAUCUGUUUGAAAGGAUGCCAUAUGGAUUUUGAUUCUGCUGGGCAGCUUAUUUUGAAAGCGAAGAAAAGUAUAUUCCUUCCAGAGCAUCUCCUCAAAAACGAUGUUCUCUAUAGGCUGUUCCAGAAAUCAUUUCAUACCAUAUAAUAUAUUUUUUUUCUCGUUUACAACUUUAUUUUCUAAAGACAUGUGUCCUUUGAUAAAAUUUAUUUAAAUAUAUUAAAAUGUGAAAAUAAAUUACUUCAUCACAUUGUCUUAAACAAAAAUGUUUUAUUUUAAUAUAAAAUUAAUUUCACCCACUUAGUGAACUAUGAGCAUAUCACAUCUGUAAGCUUUCAUGAAAUGGUUAGGAAACCAUUUGCUUGAGCUACAAAUAAGGAUGAUAAAAUUGUUUGAUACAGUUUCUAGAUUUGAGUUUUUUCUAAUUUACUUCCUCCAUUUUUUAUUUUAUUUACCUUAAAUAUUAUUUCUUCAGAAUUAUCAAAUUUUGUAAAUAGGGAAAACACCUGAGAGAUUUAGGAUGCAGAAAAUGACAAGGAAUAGCAUUUACCUUUUCCAAGAUCACUAGCAAUGGAAAUGAUACAAAUAGCACCACAGUUACAUUUUUCCAUUUAUCAAAUCUCUCAUAUUCAGCUCUGCACCAUUUUCCACUUAUUUCUGGCACCUCUACACCUUUUCAUUGAAAGAGUUUUUCUGUAAUGCUUAUAUUUUUUUCCCCCUUUUUUUUUUCUGAUGUUUGUUUGUCUUCCACUAAAUAAAGUAUUGUUCUCUACAAUACUUGUUCCUCUUUACUAGAGAUUAGUUUGGUGACCUUUCCAACUACAACAGCUGUUUUCACUCAACAAGGGACCAAAUUCUAUGCUGAUUGUAUGUUUGAUUGCACUCAAAUAGCCUGGCCCUGAGAGAGGUGUAUAGCUCAAAAGCUGAAGCUGACUUGUACAUUAAAAUCUGUCUCCAUUUCAAUUCUAUAUUUUUAACAGAAUAUCUUUAGUAGAUCCUUAGCUAUUAUUCUUGUUACAUACAAAAUUCUUUGGAUUCCAAAUUAUGGUUCAAUUUCACCAAACUUUCCAGUUAAUGGUUAACUACUGCUUGGCUCAUUAUUAUUAUAAUUAUUCUUAUUAUAAUUAUUAUUAUUUAUUAGUUUUUUUUUUAAUAAAAACAAUUAUGUUCAGUAUUUAAAUUGCUUCAAUUGAGCUUUUGUAAUAUUGAAAAAGUCUAACACUGAACUUUAUAGUCUUUGACUAGACAACUUGUUUUAAUAAAGAAUUUUAUUCUAUAAUGAAAAUGACAUUGCAAAUUGCAGUUUUUCCAUUUAUUUUAUUUCUUUUAUUUUUUUUCCGUUUAUGAUUUCUCUUUAGUAAUUAUAAGAGCCUGUUCUGUGAAAAGGGAAGUGUGUACAUUUGUAUAAUUCCAACAUAAUUACUUAUUCUAUCCUGAUGAAAAUAAGAGCGGUUUCUCUUGUCUGGUUGUUAAAACAGAAAUAUUACAUGGCUAUAUUAAGGUAAAACAUCCUUAAACUUAUCAGUUCAGGCUAUACUGCUUUUUUAAUGAUAAUCACAGAAAUAGAAUAGAUAUUAGAGAAUCCUUUUUUUUUUCUGGAACAUACUUCUUGGAAGAACUCUUGUCAUAGGGAAAAUUCUUCAUUCUUAAGAAUUUUUUGUCAACCAUUGUUUUUUUUUUUCACAAGUUGCUUUUUGAAAUGUUACUCAAUUUUUAAAUUAUAUUGUCUGUAAUAAAGAUGAGGAUAAAGUUGAUAUCAAUUUAAAACAUUGAUGGUUAGUGGUGUUAAUUUCAGAGGAAUUAGUUCUAGAAAAGGACCAGGCUGUGUUGAAUGUGUAGAAGGGUGAAAUAAGAGGAGCAGAGAUUGUUGUAGAAGACAGGAAGGACACAGUAGUUUGAGAGUAUAAAUGAAUGAAGGUUAACUUUACAGCUUUUAGAUAUUGGUUUCCAGUUUGGGCACAAGGCCAGCAAUUUCAGGUGUGGGAGUCGGGGCUAGUCAAUUACAUUGACCCCAAUGCUCAACUGGGACUUAUUUUAUCAACCGUGAAAGGAAACGCCAACCUCGGUCGAAUUUGAGCUCAGAACAUAAUGACUGAUGGAAUGCUACUAAGCAUUUUGCCUGGCAUGGAACCGAUUCUGCCAGCUCACCACCAGAUAUAGCUUUUAGAUAUGACCAAGAAUAUAUAUAUAUAUGUGUGUGUGGUUGGUGAACUGUUUCAUGUGUGAAAACAACACCCUUGUGAAAGGCAUAAUGUCUGGAAGGGGUUAGUAGCUGUUAAGGGCUGAAGUAUUUUCUGGUUCUGGAAAGGAAAUCCUGCUUUUGUGAUGGAAUCUUCAUUAGGUAAAAAAACAUUAGGCUACCAAAAUAAUUGAACUGAUUAUUACAGUUAAUUUGUAUUUACUCUGUUGUUGACCUUAAGUUCAUUCCUAUACUCUCAGAAACCAAUCUUGAGUCUGUUUAUGUAUAGAAUCCAAUUUAAAUUUUCAUAUACUUAUGAAAAGAUUUUACAUGAGUGCUUCUACAGUUGGUACCAUUAUGUUAAUGUGUGUGUGUGUGUGGUUCCAGUUUUAUAUAUAUAUAUGUAUAUAUAUUGGAGCCUGGUGCAGCCUCCUGGCUUCCCAGUCCACGAUCGAACUGUCCAACCCAUGCUAGCAUAGAAAACGGACGUUAAACGAUGAUGAUGAUAUAUAUAUAUAUAAACUAAUACAAAGAUCGAACAAUUAAUGAUAUCUUGGUCAAGAGGGGUCCUUUCCCUUGAUGCUUCUAGUGGAAUUGGUAAAGCAUUUUCGCUCAACCUAAUUUGGACCAAAGUUUGAUCACUCAAAUAUUAUUGCAGAGUCCUCAUUUGGAGUUUUUGCAACUUUGUUCACAGGUGGCAGCACUGAUGUCAUUCUGUCUUUUUAAGCUGCCACUCGACCUACAGUGACAGUCAGAUGUGCAAUGUUAACAAAUUAGAGGUUUCGAAGCAGUCCAAACUGAAAGUAUCAGGCAACUGCAUUGGCAGCUCCCUAUCACAACCUACAACUCAGCUGAAGUCACAGUUUUUUUCUCUGGUGAUUUCAGGCAAACUCUGCCAAUCAUUCUAAAGGAUACCCAGGCUGAUGAGUUUGAGAGAAGGCCUCAAAUAUUUCUUUCUUCCAAUUAGAGAAUCACAUUUAAUAGCACUUUCGUUGCAGCCCACUUUGCAAAAGUUUUACUUCAGUUGUAAGGAAUGGACGUGUCUAAAUAUAAAAAAAAAAUGUAGAGUAAUGAACACAUCUCAAGAAAUGCUUCUGAGUUUGUCCUAGCCCCCAUUCAGCCAUCUGUUGUGUCUCCUUACAAUCUGCAACUAAAAGUAGGAGUACCUAUGAAGUUUGGAUGCAUCAAAACCCUGUAAUAGCAAAAGGCUGCAAAGUUCUUAUGCCUCGUGAGAUUGAAGCCAUCAUUAUGACUGGUUGUGCCAAGGGAGAUCCUUAUUCCUUCAGAUGUGCUCUCUCCGUUCAAGUGCCUUCAGUGUUCUGUGAUAUAUGAAUGUGUGUGUGUGCACAAAUCCACAAAGACAUGCAUAUUUGUAUGUAGACACAUUUAUACACAAUGAAUGUGUAUGUAUGUAUAUGUACAUUAAUUCAGACAUGCAGUCAACAUGUACAUGAUGCACUGAUAUAAUAAAAUGAAAUCCUUUCUGUUCCCAUUUAAAAUACUAAUCACUUCUAUGCCUUGCCAACUGAGUUGGAUAAAAAUUCACUGAGGAGAUUUGAUACAAAUGAAUCAUGUCUUGCUUUUUUUAAACACAAGGUCCACUCUGAUCUGUCAUUUUCAUUUUCCAUUAAAUUAGCUCAUAUUAUUGGAUUUAUCUCCCUUGCUUGUGUUGAUUUUUUUUUUUUCUUUUAAGUUUUUGAAUGCCUCUUUAGGAAACUUUGUUUACUAAUUGCAUGGAUAAUUUCAGUUAACCAAAGCUUUCCAACUCUGAGACUCAACAACAUAUGUCAAUUAUACGAUACUAAUAAAGUCGUUGUCCCCUGACAAAGCUAACGGAAAGAGCAUUCUGAUGAGACAGUGAAAGCAGAAUGCACCAUGGUACCGUGGCUGAUUACAAACUACCUGUAAUUUUAUGCAAACAGUGACUAAUGUAUGUCACCUGUUUUACCGUUCUUUCUCUACUUUUGGGUGAUUUUGCAUAGAUUCUCUUAAACGCCCAGGUGGCUCACCACAAGUAGUUGAUAGUUUCUGUUACCUAGAAGACAUAGUUAGGGUGGGACGGGGAGGUGGUUACUUGGAAAGUGUAGUAGCCGGGUUACGAACAGGUUGGAAAAAGUUCAGGGAGCUACUGCCAUUGCUGACUAGGGUGUAACUGGGUGUUGGCAGGGUCCACCUCAUAUGGCAUUUUUGGGUCUGCUGUAUAAACAUAUGUACAUACAUGCAUACAUACAUAUGUGUAGCAGGAAUAUUUGGGGGAGAGAGGUGGCAAACUCAAAGACUGCCCUGGCAGCACACACUCUAGUUACAUCACUGUGGUGGCACCAAGUUUUUCUCUCAGAAUGAAAGUUGUGUGCUAGAACUGUGAUGCUGCAUGGUAACUUGACGUGAGUCUUGCAAUCAGAAAAUUUGUGGAAACUUGAAAAAAAUGAAGCUGUCUUGCUCUGAUGGAUGUGGUAUGUCAGUGUGCUUGGUUGCCAGAAUAGAAAUGAGCCAAGAGGAGAACUGGAUAUAAGUGGAAUCAGGUGUAGUGUGCAGAAGAUGAGAGACUAUGUUGAUACAAGCAUGAGAUGUGUUUGAAGAUGACUGUUGCAGUCUGUGGAAGAGGAGGGCCAAAGAAGACUUAGGACCAAAAUGGUGAAAGCUGAUCUGAAGACAAAAGACUCUACAGAUUGCCAGUACGUGAUGUUAUAGAAUACUUGUCCACCCAAGAAAAAGAAAAACACAAGGGGAGCAAUUAAAAAGCUGUGACACAGACAUAUAUACAUACGGCAAGAAUGUUUGAUAGAGUCCUAAACACCAACUCAUUGACUAGAAAUCAAACCUGAAUCACUGUUCAGAAAAAAAAAAAACGAUAAAUAACAGAAUUCUGUCAUGGAUUGAUAACAUCAACAAAAAGCUGACCACUCAAAUCUCAAGUAGAACCCUCAAGAACAUGUUUUUAAUCAAUAGCUGAGGUGACCAACAAAAUACAAUAAAUCCAACAGAUGUUUUACCCUUUGAAUCCUUAUGUUGUAUACAAUCAUAAUUUUGGACAAAUAACAUACUGAAAUGUCAUUAACAAUUUUGUCUUUGGCUCCUUUUCAUUGAAAGAUAUUAUGCAUAGUUUGUUUAUCUGCUAAUUUUCCAGUGACCAUAAAGCAGCCAAGAAAUUUAUGACACUACAGAAAUUUAUGGCACUCGACAACAACCUCAGAAUGAAUUCGGUCCACUCAUGGCUGCUGACAAACACAAAUUGAUUCACUUGUCUUAAAUAUUUUCUUUUCUGUCAUUCACCAUAACAACACUUUAUUUUGUUUAUGAUUAAUAAAUAUUUUGUAUUUGGAACUUCUCACA